CCGGCGCACGGGUGAGUAACACGUGUGCAACCUGCCCGGCACAGUGGGAUAAUCCGGAGAAAUCCGGUCUAAUACCGCAUGACGCGGGAAAGGCGCAUGCCUUUUCCGCCAAAGGAGGCGACUCCGGUGCCGGCUGGGCACGCGUGACAUUAGCUAGUUGGCGGGGCGACGGCCCACCAAGGCGACGAUGUCUAGGGGUUCUGAGAGGAAGGUCCCCCACACUGGUACUGAGACACGGACCAGACUCCUACGGGAGGCAGCAG
rnacentral:rRNA from 1 species